GCUGGGAUUUCAGGAUCAGUCAGGGAAUCGCGCUCUGCUCCAGCAUCCCGCCCUCCCCGAGCGGGAACAGCGGCGGGAUUUCAGGAUCAGUCAGGGAAUCGCGCACUGCUCCAGCAUCCCGCCCUCCCCGAGCGAUCAGAGCUGGGAUUUCAGGGAUCAGUCAGGGAAUCGCGCUCUGCUCCAGCAUCCCGCCCUCAAAGAGCGAUCAGAGCUGGGAUUUCAGGGAUCGGUCAGGGAAUCGCGCUCUGCUCCAGCAUCCCGCCCUCCCCGAGCGGGAACAGCGGCGGGAUUUCAGGGAUCAGUCAGGGAAUCGCGCUCUGCUCCAGCAUCCCGCCCUCCCUGGGCCAACAGCGCUGGGAUUUCAGGGAUCGGUCAGGGAAUCGCGCUCUGCUCCAGCAUCCCGCCCUCAAAGAGCGAUCAGAGCUGGGAUUUCAGGGAUGGGUCAGGGAAUCGCGCUCUGCUCCAGCAUCCCACCCUCAAAGAGCCAUCAGAGCCGGGAUUUCAGGACCAGCCCCGGGCACGGCGCUCCCAGGCCGGGCUCUCAUUGAGAAUUGUUUUGCCCGCACGGCGCUGGCUCCACCCCGGCCGCGCUCAUUGGCUCGGGGUUAUUUUGGCAGCCGGACUCUGCCCUGCCCUGCGGAGAUUUUAGGGAGCUGCCCAACCUCCCGAUGCUGCUCCCCGGCUAUGGGAGGGAUGGGAGAGCGAUAAGAGCGGCGAUAAAGGCUAAAAGGGAACAAAAACAAAGGGAUUCUGUUCCGCAGGAACAAAGCACGCGGGAAUUCCUGCUCCAUGGAAAGGCUCCACCGUCCUGGGAUGCAGAGCCAAAGUGCCCAACCUCUGCCAAAUCGAAGGAUGGGGGAGCUGGCAGCUCCCUGCCAAUUCCAGUAAAUUUUAGAGUCUAUGCAUUUAAAACAGAAAAAAACCCCAGGAAUGUUAUCUCCUUAUAAACACCAUAAAAGCAAGUUCUACUUUUCCAAGGAUAAAAUGCAACAUUCAGGAAAAGAAGUUAUAGACCAAGAGUGUAAGAGCACAAUAACUCCCUGAGGGAUUUUUUAAAAUAAGGUGACCAAAAGUGCAAAUACAAGAAAUGUUUUUAAAGGAGGAAGACUCAGGGAGAGCACACAAGGAAAGUACUCUGGUUGCACCAUGCAGGCAUCAAUCACAGCAAAUCCCUGCCCAGCGGGUUUUCCAUCAAAUAUCCCAAAACUCUUGCCAGGAACACCAGCGUGCCUUCCUCAGCUUCCAGCAAAGCC
rnacentral:lncRNA from 1 species